rnacentral:rRNA from 1 species
UGGGGAAUUUUGGACAAUGGGGGAAACCCUGAUCCAGCCAUCCCGCGUGUGCGAUGAAGGCCUUCGGGUUGUAAAGCACUUUUGGCAGGAAAGAAACGUCGCGGGUUAAUACCCCGCGAAACUGACGGUACCUGCAGAAUAAGCACCGGCUAACUACGUGCCAGCAGCCGCGGUAAUACGUAGGGUGCAAGCGUUAAUCGGAAUUACUGGGGCGUAAAGCGUGCGCAGGCGGUUCGGAAAGAAAGAUGUGAAAUCCCAGAGCUUAACUUUGGAACUGCAUUUUUAACUACCGGGCUAGAGUGUGUCAGAGGGAGGUGGAAUUCCGCGUGUAGCAGUGAAAUGCGUAGAUAUGCGGAGGAACACCGAUGGCGAAGGCAGCCUCCUGGGAUAACACUGACGCUCAUGCACGAAAGCGUGGGGAGCAAACAGGAUUAGAUACCCUGGUAGUCCACGCCCUAAACGAUGUCAACUAGCUGUUGGGGCCUUCGGGCCUUGGUAGCGCAGCUAACGCGUGAAGUUGACCGCCUGGGGGAGUACGGUCGCAAGAUUAAAACUCAAAUGAA